UAUACGACCGUACCGCAAACCGACACUGGUGCGCGAGAUGAGUAUUCUAAGGCGCUUGAGAGAACUCAGGAGAAGGAACUCGGCAAAUUGACACCGUAACUUCGGAAGAAGGUGUGCCCUAUUAGUGUGUAGUGAACAACGAAGCAUGAAUGGGUUGCAAAAAAUCGGUGGCUGCGACUGUUUAUUAAAAACAUAGCACUCUGCAAACACGAAAGUGGACGUAUAGGGUGUGACGCCUGCCCGGUGCUGGAAGAUUAAAUGAUGGGGUGCAAGCUCUUGAUUGAAGUCCCAGUAAACGGCGGCCGUAACAAUAACGGUCCUAAGGUAGCGAAAUUCCUUGUCGGGUAAGUUCCGACCUGCACGAAUGGCGUAACGAUGGCCACACUGUCUCCUCCUGAGACUCAGCGAAGUUGAAAUGUUUGUGAUGAUGCAAUCUCCCCGCGGAAAGACGGAAAGACCCCAUGAACCUUUACUGUAGCUUUGUAUUGGACUUUGAACAGAUCUGUGUAGGAUAGGUGGGAGGCUUUGAAGCAGGGUCGCUAGAUCUUGUGGAGCCAACGUUGAAAUACCACCCUGGUGUGUUUGAGGUUCUAACCUAGGUCCAUUAUCUGGAUCGGGGACAGUGCAUGGUAGGCAGUUUGACUGGGGCGGUCUCCUCCCAAAGCGUAACGGAGGAGUUCGAAGGUACGCUAGUUACGGUCGGACAUCGUGACGAUAGUGCAAUGGCAUAAGCGUGCUUAACUGCGAGACUGACAAGUCGAGCAGAUGCGAAAGCAGGACAUAGUGAUCCGGUGGUUCUGUAUGGAAGGGCCAUCGCUCAACGGAUAAAAGGUACUCUGGGGAUAACAGGCUGAUACCGCCCAAGAUUUCAUAUCGACGGCGGUGUUUGGCACCUCGAUGUCGGCUCAUCUCAUCCUGGGGCUGUAGCCGGUCCCAAGGGUAUGGCUGUUCGCCAUUUAAAGAGGUACGUGAGCUGGGUUUAAAACGUCGUGAGACAGUUUGGUCCCUAUCUUCCGUGGGCGCUGCAGAUUUGAGGAAGCCUGCUCCUAGUACGAGAGGACCGGAGUGGACACACCUCUGGUGUAUCGGUUGUCACGCCAAUGGCAUUGCCGAGUAGCUAAGUGUGGAAGAGAUAACCGCUGAAAGCAUCUAAGCGGGAAACUCGUUUCAAGAUGAGAUCUGCCGGGGCCUUGAGCCCCCUAAAGAGCCGUUCAAGACCAGGACGUUGAUAGGUCAGGUGUGGAAGCCAAAAA
rnacentral:rRNA from 1 species